rnacentral:misc_RNA from 1 species
UCAAACGUCAAGCUUGGCUUGCUAUUGGACUCGCUGUCCGGCUAAAGGACACGUCCCAAAGACAAUGACCGUGUCGAGUGUGACCCUAGAUGCAAUGAGCUUUGUUAAGCACGCAUGUAAGGGCCCACCCGGCCCGGUCUCAACCAUUUUUCUCAGG